AAACAGUCAGCAAGAAAACAGUCAACAAGAAAACAGUCAACAAGAAAAUGCUGCUCCCCCGUGUCGUUCAGGAGCCCAAACAAAGUUAGCGUGCUACAAUAUCGGACAGUAGAAACCAACCAGAAAGUUCGGAAAAUUGUCUGAAUCCUCCUUUGGCCACGACUGCCGACACAAGCAAGAAAACACUCAAACAUAAACAGUCAGCAAGAAAACAGUCAACAAGAAAACAGUCAACAAGAUAACAGUCAACAAGAAAACAGUCAACAAGUAAACAGUCAGCAAGAAAACAGUCAACAUCAAAACAGUCCUCCAUAAACAGUCAACAAGAAAACAGUCAACAAGAAAACAGUCAGCAAGAAAACAGUCAACAUCAAAACAGUCAACCAUAAACAGUCAACACCAAAACAGUCAGCAAGAAAACAGUCAACCAUAAACAGUCAGCAAGAAAACAGUCAACCAUAAACAGUCAGCAAGAAAACAGUCAACAAGAAAACAGUCAGCAAGAAAACAGUCAGCAAGAAAACAG
rnacentral:lncRNA from 1 species